ensembl:lncRNA
CUUCAGUCUGUAGGCUUGUGUGCCUGGCACACGCAGCUGGGAUUUGAACCCAGGCCCCCCAGCUUGAAAUCCUGUUCUCUCACAAUGUCACCUCUGUGUGCCAGUUCCAUUUGGGCUGAAUUUCUUUUGUGUUAAUAGCCUUUAGUGAAGGAAACUCAGUUUCUUUUAACCUUGGUAAAGACCUUGUUCCCUGUAAGCAAUGGAAAUACUAGCACUCUGUGGUGUAACAGCAGAUACUUUGGCAACAGUGUGCUAAGAUAUGGCAGAACAGUCAUCUGCAGGCCCUGCUUGUAUCAUCCUGCCCUCUGGAACCCACUGGACAGCAUCACACAAUGACCAAUACAGUCCCUAUGAGCCAAGUCUGGUGGCUUCAGAGCCCGAGUUAAUUGGACCAAGAUUGAGUAGCUCACUCUUGCUGGGCCAGGUUCUUGUUCUCUGCACUGACCUCUGGAACUGAGGACAUAUCAAUUUAGGAGCUGGGAGCAGCCUCCUUUGGUCCUUUGGAGGUAAAAGUAAAUAAAACCAAAGUGCUGAAGUGAGUAAUCA